CUGUGUAUUGCACCGGGGAUGCUGGGUGCUGCCCUUUCCCCUAUGACCUUUGGCCUCCCUCCUCUAAAAACAAGCAGCAAGAAGAAACAAGGGAGUUUUGUGACAGCACCCCUCAUAUUGCACGUUCAGAGGAGCGGCAGGAGCUAGCCUGAUAAGUCUGCGGUGGGGUUGGAGGCUACCCAGACGGAAUAUAAGGUGUUGCUCCUCGCACCCUGAUGGUUGCCUCAUCAUGGCACAAAAGGAGACCACGGACCGACGUGUUGGAAAGAGAAUGGGAAUCGGAAUUAAAAUGUUUGACCACUGGGAAGUUCUACAGCUGGUGGAUGGAGCGGAGGUGCUCGACAAAGCGAUUUUCCCCUAAUUUAUCAAUGCUGGUAUGAUCAUUAAUAUGGAAUUUGAACUAAUUUUAAUUUGCUUAAUGUAUUGAAUAUUAAAUAACAUUGGUCAGGAUAUGGGGUUAUUGAGAGAUUUUGACUUCUGUCACAAGUUGUAAAGGAUGAUAUUAAACAAAUUCAGAAAGAAGCCAAAGCCGUGGUCAAAGAUCUAAGUAAUUUUAUUAUCAAAGUACAUACAGUAUAUGUCACCAUAUACAACCCUGAGAUUUACUUUCUUAUGGGUAUACUCAGUAAAUCCAAUAACCAUAAUAAAAUCAAUAAAAGACUGCAUCAAUAGGUUGGACAACCGAUGUGCAAAAGACAACAUAUUAUGUAAAUACAAAAGGAAAAAAGAAAUAAUAAUAAUAAAUAAGAAAUGAAAUGAAGUCUUUGAAAGUGAGUCCAUAGGUUGUGGGAACAGAUCAAUGUGGUAUUUAAAGUUGAGUGAAGUUAUUCCCUUCCGGUUGAAGAGUUUGAUGUAACCACUGUGAUUCUUUGAAAUGUUCAAAACGUAAUUUAGUUUCUCUUCCUAUUAAAUUUGGAAGUGUGUACUUAAAUUUCAUUUUUGUCACUAUUGUUUUGAAAAUAACAUGGUUACCAGUGGCUGGGUG